CGUUCUUUUUUCCCUCUAGGAGGUUAUUGAUUCCCGUAUAAGAGUGAAGCCAGACGAGUAAUGAUCAUUGGCUGGCUCAUUUCUAACAAACUGAAAACUUGUUAUCACUGUAGAAAAAAAGGAGCCAACAAGCCUUCCAGCGCUGUUCAGAUCGCUACAAACUGCGCACCGUUCAUCCCGAAGCAACUAAUGUCCUGAUAUUAACGAUAAUUGAUCGCUCACCUGCUGCACCAACGAACCUGACAAUUAGCCAUUUUCAUUCCGCCACUACAGUCUGUUUCGCAUUGUCGAUAAUAAACAUACUUUAUGGACGAGCUUGUUACUUGCGGCGCUAGUAUCCACAUAAAAUCAGUCGAUUAUGUUGUUUGGAAAGGUUCAUUCUAGAAGAAUAUUUUUAUUUAAUGCAUUCCUAAGUUUGUAUUUAAAUAAUAAUUACAAAGAACAUACGAUAUUUUUCAACAUUUCAUGUAAAUUUGUAAAAUGAUAAAUGAUAAAUUUGUAUCAAUACAACUUUUUUGAUGUAUUAUUAAGAAAACUAUGUUAUCUUAU